UUGGUUUUAUCGAGCAAGAAUUGCAAACGCAGCAAGCGGGUUGAGUUGUGAAAAAUUUUUACAUCCGACAAUUCAGUACGACGUUUGACAUUAGUUAAAUUGAUUUCAGACUGUGCGCACUUGCCCGGCAUAAAUAAUUUUUCCUCUCGCGAUUCCAAGUCCGUCGAAAGUCAAAUUGUUUACUCCGUCGAAACAGCAACGAAAUGCUCUAGAAGAUUCUUUCGGAUGACGGUGAAGAGCCCUUAAAAAGCCCCAAGAAUGUGACGACCACGAAGGGUCAGAAAAAGCGCAGACGGAAUUCCAAUUUUUUUGACAGUGCCCAAAUGCCUGUAGAAGAUUCAGGAAGAAAUGAAGACUUAAAAUCAGACACCUUUGUCCGAACUCCUUCCGUCCUGUGCUCCAAUCUUAGAACCGUCGCCCGGCAAGUUUUGACUGCAGGCCGUCGUUUUUAAGGUUGCCAACCAGGAGAGCUCUAAACCCAUCCAAAUCAUCUAGAGUACUCAAAGCCCGACGUUUACCAACCCAGAACAAGCAAAAUUUCGCAAAGUUGAUGCUGAAGAGCCGGAGUUUGGAAAACGAGUGCACAAUGAAUUGGACCUGGAAACUUCGAGAGAUUUCGGCUGUAGAGCCAGUUAAAGAAAUGCAAAUGAACGAGCAUAGACCACCAGAUACUCCGAUUCCUGACUUUUCUGAACAUUGGGGCUGACAAGCUCCUUGGCUACCUCGCUUUCAAGGACAACGGCUCCUGGUUCUGCGGAUGUUGACUUGGGAUCAAUCCCACCAAAGCCCCAAGAGGAGUCAGAUUCAGGAGUCGAAACAGCAUUACAGGUUGACCAUCAUCCAGCAACUGCAAAUAAUAAGUGAGAAGAGCCUCAAGCCAAUGGAGCAAUUGUGCAGAACGAGUAACAUUACGCCCAUACCAGUUCGUCAGGAGCAGUGCCCCCAGAAGAUCCGGGUCCUCAGAAGUCCUGCCAGGCCUUAAAGAGAGCCCUUGCGCCUGCGCUUUAAAAUUAAGUGCUGUAAACUGUUCCACUCUUCAAAUGUAUCUUAAGUUGUAUCUUAAGAUGGCUGCAAUAAGAAUGGAUAAUACCGUCUUCAAAAACGACAUAGGUGUGAUCGGAUUGCGGAUUGCGGUCUCGCAGACAUAAUUCGAGCAUCUUGUGGAAGCAAUCGACCAUGAAAUUCACCGCUCCUAUGGUUUUGGCCACGAAAUCGCUUCGGGUUUCGUUCACCAUUUCCUAACUUCUUCCGUUCAUAAUCAUCAAUUCCACGUUGAUGAUUAUAAACGGAAGAAGUGGGAAAAUGAUGACCGACACCAUAAGCAAUAUCGUGGCCAAGACAGGGACGCUGAAUUUCAAGGUCGAUCCCUCCCACAAGCUCCUCAAAAUUAUGCCUGCGAGGCCCCAAAUCGAACCUCGAUCACUCCUAUGUCGCUGUUGAAAACGGCAAUGUCCAUUCUUUUUACAUCCAUAUCAAGAUCCAAAAUUGGGUUCAUUUGGGCAUCAUAAAUGGCUUGAUGAUGAUUGUGAACGGAAGAAGAGAGGAAAUGACGGUCGAAUAAAAUCCUGCUCUGGGCCAGCUUUCCUGUUCUUCAAAAUCAAUCAGAAAUCGAAGUAAAGAAUGCGGGUCCUUACUUCGAUUUCUGAUUGAUUAUGAAGAACCGGAAAGCUGGCCCAGAGCACGAUUUUAUUCGACCGUCAUUUCCUCUCUUCUGAAUAUGGGAAAUCCGAUAGCUGUCCA